AAUAGAUACCCGGGUAGUCCACGCCGUAAACGAUGAGUGCUAAGUGUUAGGGGGUUUCCACCCCUUAGUGCUGCAGCUAACGCAUUAAGCACUCCGCCUGGGGAGUACGGUCGCAAGACUGAAACUCAAAGGAAUUGACGGGGGCCCGCGACAAGCGGUGGAGCAUGUGGUUUAAUUCGAAGCAACGCGAAGAACCUUACCAGGUCUUGACAUCCCGCUGACCGCUAUGGAGACAUAGCCUUCCCUUCGGGGACAGCGGUGACAGGUGGUGCAUGGUUGUCGUCAGCUCGUGUCGUGAGAUGUUGGGUUAAGUCCCGCAACGAGCGCAACCCUUGUCCUUAGUUGCCAUCAUUCAGUUGGGCACUCUAAGGAGACUGCCGUACAAAUACGGAGGAAGGUGGGGAUGACGUCAAAUCAUCAUGCCCCUUAUGACCUGGGCUACACACGUGCUACAAUGGACGGUACAAACGGUCGCGAAGUCGCGAGACGGAGCCAAUCCGAAAAAACCGUUCUCAGUUCGGAUUGCAGG
rnacentral:rRNA from 1 species